GGAGUGUGAGGCCUGGAGCUCAGCGGGAGAAGCCCCCAGGGCUGGGCCAGCCCAGCGGAAGGAACCCUGCUGCCCCGGGAAAAUGGCCCCAGACGUGGCAGGACUGGGAGCCGCCCGGGCAGCCUCCUCCAGCCUUGGCCCUCUGCACCAGCUCACUGUUGUCCCUGGACCUGCCUUGACCAGACACGGAACUCCUCCGUCCCCUCCAGUCUGUCCCAAGGAGCGUCCGAAGGGUCUGAAGGGCCCGGGCUCCCCAGCGAGAGGAGGCCAGCGACCCUCCUCCCAGGCUUUCCUGACCGCCCCACGGGCAGGCCCCGGGCACCCUGUGAGCUUGGCACGCGCUCGGUGAAGGAUGCCCGCUCACAGAUGCUGUCAGUAAAGGCAUGGAGGCUGGCAGACCCCAGCCCAGGAGCGGGGAGGCUCAGAUCCCAUCCUGGCCCUGCCCAGAUCCAGACGAGCCACCACAGUCUUCUUGGAGGUGAAGUCUAUUGGUGUUUCCCUUUUGCCCUCCAGCCUACAGGCUGCCGGCUGCAAGGCAUUCAGAGCCACAGCUCUGCGGAUGUCACCCUCCCCAGGAGCCCACAGGCUGAACCCUGUUCUGCCCACACCCUCCCCAGGGGCCACAGCCCUCGAACUCCCCCUCCCUCGGUCCAUCGCGCGGCAGCCUCCCCCGCCCCAAGGCAGCCCACAUGGAUUCUGCUUCCUCGCAGGGGGCACAGACGGACCUUUUCUCCCAUCAGUCCCCACCAGCCGGCCAGGAAUGGAGGCACAUUUCUCCAUCACUCCUCACAAGACCCCAGCCCUCCCGGGUCUCAGGUGUCCAGGUAGAGCCCCUCCUUUCCUCACACCUCUGGGCUCUUGACCCACUGUCCCUCCUCCAUCUCCACCUCCAGGUGCCAAGGCCCCCGAGGCUCAACCCUGUGCAGGAAACGCAGCCAGUGCCCCGCCCUGGGCUCCCAGGCCUCUUCCCUGCCCCCUCAGCCCCACCCCUGCCUCUGUCACCACGAGUAAGGGCAUCUGCUCUAGGACUCCUUCCCUCCCCGCUGACCUGAUCAAGCUUUACUAAUAAUUCAGCCUUGCAGCUAUGAACCCACCAAACUUGUCAUCUCCUCACCACGCCUCCCCUGCACCCCUCUUUAUUCACUGCCCCUGCCCAGGCCUUGAGCCACUGGCCCUCUUUUUUGAUCAAACUCUGGGGCAAAACUGAAAGCUGGGCAGCUGUAAAUAUUCCCUUCACUGUGACAUCCUCCAAAAAGGCAGGGCUGAUGGCUCCAGGACUCAUGAACAUCUACGUGACCUCCUUCACACCCGUAUCAUAACAGAGAGAGAUGCAACCGAACCUCACAGAGUUUGCACCACUGGGGAAGCGCGGCUAGACUACCUCUCGGCUCAGUUGCUCAGUCAUGUCCAACUCUGCGGCCCCGUGGACCGCAGCACGCCAGGCCUCCCUGUCCACCACCAACUCCUGGAGCUUGCUCAAACUUAUGUCCACUGAGUCGGUGAUGCCAUCCAACCAUCUCAUCCUCUCUCGUCCCCUUCUCCUCCUGCCCCCAAUCCCUCCCAGCAUCAGGGUCUUUUCCAAUGAGUCAGUUCUUUGCAUCAGGUGGCCAAAGUAUUAGAGUUUCAGCUUCAGCAUCGGUCCUUCCGAAGAAUAUUCAGGACUGAUUUCCUUUAGAACGGACUGGUUGGAUCUCCUUGCAGUCCAAGGGAUUCUCAAGAGUCUUCUCCAACACCACAGUUCAAAAGCAUCAAUUCUUCGGUACUUGGCUUUCCUUGUAGUCCAACUCCCACAUCCAUACGUGAUCACUGGGGAAACCAUAACUUGGACUAGACAGACCUUUGUUGGCAAAGUGAUGUCUCUGCUUUUUAAUAUGCCAUCCCCUACCCCCACGGAAAGUAGUGAGACAUGCUGGGCAAAAAAAUAAAAAGGUAUGUUUAGAGUAACAGUCAGAAGGCAGUGGAGAGCGGGUGAAGCAGAACCUGGACAGGAGCCCAUCUUUGAACAACAAACACUGGCCAGCCAGACGUGUGUUUGUGGCCGCAGGGUCACCAGACACGUCCCAGGGGAAGACACACAUCAACAGCUGAGCAGCGCACAGAAGAGCGUGAAACUCACAAAGCCACAGGGAGCCGUCACCGCACCCCGACCUGAAAGUUGGUGAGGGACACCACCGAGUGUGGAUGGAGACGUGGAGCAACCAGAGCAUUCCCAUGCUGCACGGAAGACGGACUGAGCUUCUGAUGAAGGUCAGCAUGCGCCCAUCACUGGAGGAAGCAAGUCCGCUCCAGAGCGUGGCCCAGGAGAGCUCACACACGUGUGUGCAAAGGGACCUGACUCAUGUUCACAACGGGGCUUCCCUGGCAGCCAGAGGAUUGGAUUCGGCGCUCCCACUGCAGGGCGCAUGGCUUCAACCGGGCAACCAAGAUUCCACAUCCCUCGAGGCACAGCCACAGUGUUAAAAAUUUUUAAAGCCUUAAAAAAUGUUCACAGUGGCUUUCCCAUAUUACCCGGAAACUAGACGUGGCCUGAACGUGCAUGAAUGUGACCGCCGCACACUCACACCACAGGGUGAAACAGACCCAAAGGGAACCAGCAAGUGAGGCGUGCCGUGGGUGGACGUCAUCAUCCCCAGGAUGCCAUCCAGGAGCUCCAGGGCAGGCGGAGCUGUCUGGGGCAGGGGGACCAGCAGGAUGGCAGCUGGGCAGAGGAGGGCAGGCCGGGCAGAACACAGGGCAUGUGCAGGUGACGGACAUUUCCAGCUUUAUCUGGGGGUGUGCCAUGCGGGUGCAGCCGUUUGUCAAGAUUUACAGUUAAUCUUUGUGUCUUUCCGCACGUGUGCUGUUAAGACUGUGAGACAGUCGUGGGAAGACAAGGGUAGUUGGGGGUCUGGACACAAAGCGAACGGUGGAAGGACGGGUCGCUGAGACUCGUGAUGGGUGCAGGGAGUUCAGUGCACCGCUGUAUCUGAGAUUUCAUGAAAUAGGUGUUUAGAGCGGGGGGGGAAAAAAAACAACAAUGCACUGGUACAUUCUGCCUCAGCCUGGCGAAGCUAACAGCCUGGCACCACCCUUGCUCGGGGCAGCUGUGGGCAGCAGCACUGGCACACGGGAUGGGCAGGGUGCUGGCUGGCACGUGUCUGUUGUGGAAGGCCACUUGACAACUGCUGUCCACGUCACGAGCACGCAUGCUGGACCCAGGCGCUCUAGGAAUCUGCCCUACAGAUAAGUGCACAGGAGCGUGUGAGAGUCUUCAUCAGAACCACGAUGCUGGAAAAGGCUCCGAUGUCCAGGGGCAGGGGCCGGGUUAGUGACACCACGGCCGACACGCUGGACAGAAGACAUCACAGCCACGGAGUGCAGGUGCCCCGUGUGGGGCAGGGUGAUCUCCGCGCUGUGAGGUGAACCUCGGAAGUGCAGAGGGGCGCUGGCCACCCUCCCCGUGUAACUCCAGGGCACCUGUGCACGGCAACAUCGUUCGGAUGUGUGUAAGGUCUCUGGCAGGAUACUCAAAAAGUAGCUAACUUGAUAGCUAUUUUGAUCACUCGUGCGGCUGAAAGUUGGUGUCUGGUGUGGGAAGGGGGGGGGGUCCUCCCAGGGGGCCCUAGUGGUAAAGAGGCCACCUGCCAACGCAAGAGACGUGAGAGACGGGGGUUCCAUCCCUGGGUCAGGAAGAUCUGGGGAAGAAAACAGCAACCCACUCCAGUACUCUUGCCUGGAGAAUCCCAUGGACAGAGGAGCCUGGUGGGCUACAGUCCAUGGGGUGGAAAGAGUUGGACACAACUGAAGUGACUUUGCAUAUGUAUGUGGGAAGUGGAAGACCUUUUUAAAUUUUUAAUCACCUUACCAAUCAUUUGUUCCCAGUUCAAAUGUUAAUUAAAACAUAAACUUCUUUAUCCCACAACUCCUUCCACUUUUCAUCACUGGUUAGUUCUGUGUACCUUCUACUUCCUUUUCCCCCGAACUACUGCGUUUUAUUCUUUAUCAUUAAAAGACACACAUUGGAGGGCUCCCCGGACGUAAACUCCCUGCCUGCUCUCUGCCCCAUCUUUGUUGCUGUUCAGUUGCUCAGCCGUGUCUGACUCUUCGUGACCCCACGGACAGCAGCACAUCAGGCUUCACUGUCCUUCACCAUCUCCCAGAGUUUGCUCAAACUCAUGUCUAUUGAGUCAGUGAUGCCAUCCAACCAUCACAUCCUGUCACCCCCUUCUCCUCCUGCCCUCAAUCCUUCCUAGCAUCAUGAUCUUUUCCAGUAAGUCAGCUCAGUUCAGCUGAUAAAGAAUCUGUCUGCAAUGGAGGAGACCUGGGUUCUGAUUCCUAGGUUGGGAAGAUCCCCUGGAGAAGGAAAUGGCAACCCACUCCAGUAUUCUGGCCUGGAGAAUUCCAUGGGCUGUAUAGUCCAUGGGGUCACAAAGCAGGACACGACUGAGCAAGUUUCACAUCAGGUAGCUGAAGAAUUGAAGCUUCAGCUUCAGCAUCAGUCCUUCCAAUGAAUAUUCAGGUCUGAUUUCCUUUAGGAUUGACUGGUUUGAUCUCCUUGCAGUCCAAGGGACUCUCAAAAGCCUUCUCCAGCACUACAGUUUGAAAGCAUCAAUUACUUGAUGCUCAGCUUUCUUUAUGGUAUAACUCUCACAUCCAUACCCCAUCUUUACCUCCACCAUGAUUCGCUUCUAGUGUAUUCUCCAAUGUUUCCUUUUAUAAAUACAGGCAAAUAUUCUUUUCCCCAUCAUCACCCCAAAAUGUGGCAUACCAUCACCAUGUUCUGCAUGUUGCCUUUUUUUCACUUAAAAAAAAAAAAACAGACCAUGGAGACCUUCUCCCGUCAGCACAUAGACAGUUCCGUGACCCCGUUGUCGAGGGCUGCAGUGUUCCCUGGUGCAGCUGUCCUGACGUGAUUUGGUCUUCUAGAGGGACACCUACCUGGUUACCCCUUUUGCUGUUAUAAGCAGCGCCUUGGUCAGUAACCUUGAUCGUGCGUCCUUCUGCACAGGGACGGUGUAUUUGGUGUACGGAAAGCACCCGUGAUCCUGUCAGGGGUCAAAAUGCUUCCUUGGGGGUGGCCCCUACCCUCACCCCUGCACCUGCUUCCCCGCCACCUUGCCAGCCCAGCCUGG
ensembl:lncRNA